rnacentral:snRNA from 1 species
UGAAAACUUCACAAUACCGCCU